rnacentral:snRNA from 1 species
AGAGAAUCGCUUGAACCCAGGAGGCAGAGGUUGCAGUGAGCCAAGAUCAUGCCACUGUAUUGCAGCCUGGGCAACAGAG